rnacentral:rRNA from 1 species
UACGGGGGGGGCAAGCGUUGUUCGGAAUUACUGGGCGUAAAGGGCGCGUAGGCGGCCUGCUAAGUCGGAUGUGAAAUCCCUCGGCUCAACCGAGGAACUGCAUCCGAUACUGGCGGGCUUGAAUCCGGGAGAGGGAUGUGGAAUUCCAGGUGUAGCGGUGAAAUGCGCAGAUAUCAGGAGGAACACCUAUUGCGAAGGCAGCUCGCUGGGACGUAACUGACGCUGAGACGCGAAAGCGUGGGGAGCAAACAGG